rnacentral:lncRNA from 1 species
GGCCUGACAAUCUGUGGAAAUGUGAACUCAGGCAAAUCGAGAGGUUCAAAUCUUCGUGUUCAUUGAAGAACACCUGUGAAACUGCUCAGGCCGUCAGGGUAUGCAUAUAUCAAGAGCCACCCAGUAUCUGAAAGAUGUCACUUGACAGAGACAGUGUGUACCAUUCUGACGUUACAAAGGUGGAGUUGGUAGGUGCGUCCAGGCCAAACAGUGGGACUGGACACAGGGUCAGUGGCCCAAAAAGAGUGCUGAAUGUUUGCUGCACAUGCUUAAAAAUGCAGAGUCAUGCUGAACGUAAGGGUUUACAUGUAGAUUCUCUGGUCAUUGAGCAUAGCCAGGUGAACAAAGUACCCAAGAUGUGUGGCCAGACUCACAGAGCUCAGGGUCAGGUUAACCCAUGUGUGAGCUCUGCCUGCCACAGUGAGAUGAGCCUUAUUGAAAAGGAACAAAUUGUUCCUAAACCAGAAGAGGCUGCGCAGAAGAAAAAGAUAGCCCAGAAGAAACUGAAGAAAUGGAAACUUACGGCACAGGAAUAG